AUCAGGAGUUGGAUGCUUAGCAGACGGAGCCACCUGGGCACACCUACAGAUUUCUGUUUCUAACUAUCAGUGAUUAAAAAUGUUAUUAAGGAACAUGAGUGUCAGAUCUACCAGGUCUACGGAAUGUGAAAGACGUAUUCAUACCAUGCGGGUAACGAGCCUCUUCUCCAAAGCGAUUUCCUUUCAUGCAACACAACAAGCAUGUGGUCAACUGGAUAAUGAGUGAGUGACAGGAGGACCCAGAACACUUUUACCACUGGUUAACAGAACUUGUUUUAUACUUUUCAACGGAAGAACGGGGUAGAGAUAAUAUUGGGAAA